AUUGAACGCUGGCGGCAGGCCUAACACAUGCAAGUCGAGCGGAGCGGCGGACGGGUGAGUAAUGCCUAGGAAGCUGCCUGGUAGUGGGGGAUAACGUCCGGAAACGGGCGCUAAUACCGCAGACUAUCAGAGGACCCUCGGUGGGAUGAGCUAGUUGGUGGGGUAAAGGCCUAACAAGGCGACGAUCCGUAACUGGUCUGAGAGGGUGAUCGGUCAUGCUGGGACUGAGACACGGUCCAGAAUCCUACGGGAUGCAGCAGUGGGGAAUAUUGGGCAAUGGGCGAAAGCCUGAUCCAGCCAUGCCGCGUGUGUGAAGAAGGUUUUCGGAUUGUAAAGCACUUUAAGUUGGGAGGCGUUACCAACAGAAUAAGCACCGGCUAACUUCGUGCCAGCAGCCGCGGUAAUAC
rnacentral:rRNA from 1 species